AGAUCAUGCCAAAUUUCACCCUUAUCCAACUCAUAUAUCUCCAGAUAUCACAGAAAUCCUACUCAACUUAAAACUGCCAACUUCCAAAAUCCUCUUGUAUUAAAAACUAGAUAUCUCUAAACCAUGCCAUUAGAUUAUCACAAAAUUUUGUAUACACUUAGUAAACCUAAUAAUCCAAAAAAUAUCAAAUUUUUAACUAUAGAUGUCAUACGAAUUGCACAAACUAGCCAAAAUUGCUAGCCCUAAUUAUAUUAUAUAAAAUCCAAAUCACCAAUACAAACCCUGAUUUUGAACAACAAUUGCUAAGUCUUCAAAAACCUUCCAAAAAUAAUCCUAUGCUUUUGGAAAGAACUUCAAGUUAGCUCUCAAAUCCUAUCCUUUGAUCUUCAAAUAAAUCCCUAUUUUGCCCCAAUCUGUCGUUUU
rnacentral:lncRNA from 1 species